rnacentral:rRNA from 1 species
GCGGCAACAGCUCAAAUUUGAAAUCUGGUCCCCUUUGGGGGCCCGAGUUGUAAUUUGAAGAGGAUGCUUUUGGCGAGGCGCCGUCCGAGUUCCCUGGAACGGGACGCCGCAGAGGGUGAGAGCCCCGUACGGUCGGACGCCGAGCCUCUGUAAAGCUCCUUCGACGAGUCGAGUAGUUUGGGAAUGCUGCUCAAAAUGGGAGGUAAACCCCUUCUAAAGCUAAAUACUGGCCAGAGACCGAUAGCGCACAAGUAGAGUGAUCGAAAGAUGAAAAGCACUUUGAAAAGAGAGUUAAAAAGCACGUGAAAUUGUUAAAAGGGAAGCGCUUGCGACCAGACUUGCGCCCGUCGGAUCAACCGUCGCUUGCGGCGGCGCACUCCGGCGGGCUCAGGCCAGCAUCAGUUCGUCCGGGGGGAGAAAGGCGGCGGGAAUGUGGCUCUUCGGAGUGUUAUAGCCCGCCGUGUAAUACCCUCGGGUGGACUGAGGACCGCGCGUAUGCAAGGAUGCUGGCGUAAUGGUCGUCAGCGACCCGUCUUGAA